rnacentral:lncRNA from 1 species
UGUAAGUGCAGUUCCUGCCGGGUAACUGUCGCUUAUCAGUUCUGGUCAACCAAAGCAGAAGUCCAAGUUAAAGUCAACCAUAACGAAGAAUUCAAGACCACAUGAAGACCAUGCAUUGAUCAAGGGGGAGUUGUUAAUGCACUUUGGGUGAAAAGUGCAUGCCUUCCAAUUGUUAGGGUCUUUAGUGUACAUGUCUUGAAACUUAGUCCAAGGUUUAUCCUUGGACAACUUGUCCAAGUUUUAGGAGAACUUUUGUCUGAGUUUUAUGUUUAGGGCAAAAGUCAGAGUUUUUGGUGUAGAAUUGGUUUGUCCGAGAUUAGGGCAACUCUUGUAGCUUGGUGCACCUCUCCCACUCGUUCAUCCUCCUGGUGUGAAUUCUAGAGAGAGAGACUAUGUGUUAGUGAGAGAAAGCUAGGGUUUAGAUCUUUGUGAUCUAAACCAGCUUGUAGAUGAUGUAUACUCCUUUGGUUUGUGUAAUCUGUGAUGACUGAUUCAUCAAUAAAGAGAUUCAUCUU